rnacentral:rRNA from 1 species
GAAUUUAAACCUCUUCCAGAGUAUCAAUUGGAGGGCAAGUCUGGUGCCAGCAGCCGCGGUAAUUCCAGCUCCAAUAGCGUAUAUUAAAAUUGUUGCAGUUAAAAAGCUCGUAGUUGAAUUUCUGCUGCAUUACAUAUCUCUUGUUUGAGUUUGUUUUUGUGGCUUAUUUCGGUUUGAUUUUUUCUUUCCGGAUGAUUACUUUGAGAAAAUUAGAGUGCUCAAAGCAGGCUUUUGCCUUGAAUAGUUUAGCAUGGAAUAAUAAAGUAGGACUUUGGUUCUAUUUUGUUGGUUUUAGGUACCAAAGUAAUGGUUAAUAGGAACAGUUGGGGGCAUUCGUAUUUAACUGUCAGAGGUGAAAUUCUUAGAUUUGUUAAAGACGAACUACUGCGAAAGCAUUUGCCAAGGAUGUUUUCUUUAAUCAAGAACGAAAGUUAGGGGAUCGAAGACGAUCAGAUACCGU